GACGAACCGAGCGAACGUUGUUCGGAAUCACUGGGCUUAAAGGGCGCGUAGGCGGUCGACCAAGUCCGGGGUGAAAUCUUUCGGCUUAACCGGAAAAGUGCCUUGGAUACUGGUCGGCUGGAGGGAGGUAGGGGCAGGUGGAACUUCCAGUGGAGCGGUGAAAUGCGUUGAUAUUGGAAGGAACGCCGGUGGCGAAAGCGACCUGCUGGACCUCUUCUGACGCUGAGGCGCGAAAGCUAGGGGAGCAAACGGG
rnacentral:rRNA from 1 species